CGCGAGAGGCCACCACGUCGCGGAGGGAGAUGUUGUUAUUUUUUGCUGUUGUGCGUCCCUGACGUCACAUCCACCUGCUGGAUCAGUCACGUGCAAAAGCUUUCCCAAUGGUGCAAAGAUUCAUCACCCCGGAUGCUGCCAAACUCCCAAGCCAGCACGUGCAGGUUCUAGCUGGAUGGUUUACACCAGGCCAGUUCUUCAUCAAAAUGCCUCAGGAGCCAACCCUCUGAAUUCCUGCAAAGUGCUUCCCGCAGGAGAGCGAGACUUGCUGUCCCUUUGGUCUUGACACUAGCACAGUUGUAGAUAACAAAUAUCCUGAAAAGGAUAUUAUAAAUUCUUUGGGGUGAUGUACUUUUACAAAUACGGCUAUACGUUCAUUGACAGGAGAUUCAAAUCUCCGUGUCAAUGACAGGCUACCACUUACCACUUUUUAAAAUUGUAUCUGUUUUGCAAGUAAAAAAAAAAUAAAAUUAUAACCAAGCCAUUCACUGGUGCUGUAGAAUCAGGCACGAGGGGCUGCGCUCAGCUAGUUCCAGCACAGCAGCAUCCAUGCAUGAGGCCCCGGCGCCAGGCUCCAGUCUACCCAGACAAAACCAUCCGCCCGAUCUUCUAGGCUAGAAUCUGGAUAGAUAAAACGCAUUUUAGUGUUGCGUUUCCUAGCUUCCCAGGGCUCCGUGUUCCUGUUGUCUUUGUCAAGACAUUAACACAUGUCCCCCUGUGUUCUAGACCAUAGAGUGGGCUUUUAGAGAU